rnacentral:rRNA from 1 species
UCCGUAGGGGGCAAGCGUUGUCCGGAUUUAUUGGGCGUAAAGCGCUCGCAGGUGGUUUGUCGCGUCGUGCGUGAAAGACCCCGGCUCAACUGGGGAGGGUCGUGCGAUACGGGCGAACUGGAGGCCAGUAGGGGGAUGCGGAAUUCCGGGUGUAGUGGUGGAAUGCGUAGAGAUCCGGAGGAACACCAGCGGCGAAGGCGGCAUCCUGGACUGGUCCUGACACUCAGGAGCGAAAGCGUGGGUAGCAAACAGG